UAGAAAAACAGGAUACGAACCUGCACUAAAAGGCUCAAAACCUCUCGUACUUCCCCUAUACUACU
rnacentral:tRNA from 1 species